rnacentral:lncRNA from 1 species
AUGAAUUGGGAGAUUUAAAUCUCCAUUGUUAAACUUCUAUUUAUUUUCAAUAUUUAUGCAAUUUGAUCUUUCUAUAAUUGUUGCUUUGCUUUUAGAAUCAAUUUAGGCCUAUUGCUUUUAAUUGCUUAAGUAACAAUUGUUUGAAUAAUUUAGGUCCGUAAUUGCUUAGAUUAUUUAAACACACAUUUAAUCAAGUUGCAUAAUCUAAACUUGACCACGCGGUUGGCAAGGUUAGAAUUAGGUUUCUCUAAGUCUUAAUG